AGAGUUUGAUCAUGGCUCAGGAUGAACGCUGGCGGCGUGCUUAACACAUGCAAGUCGAACGGUGAAGGCGGAGCUUGCUCUGCUGGAUCAGUGGCGAACGGGUGAGUAACACGUGAGCAAUCUGCCCCUGACUCUGGGAUAAGCGCUGGAAACGGCGUCUAAUACUGGAUACGAGCUGCGAAGGCAUCUUCAGCAGCUGGAAAGAACUUCGGUCAGGGAUGAGCUCGCGGCCUAUCAGCUUGUUGGUGAGGUAACGGCUCACCAAGGCGUCGACGGGUAGCCGGCCUGAGAGGGUGACCGGCCACACUGGGACUGAGACACGGCCCAGACUCCUACGGGAGGCAGCAGUGGGGAAUAUUGCACAAUGGGCGAAAGCCUGAUGCAGCAACGCCGCGUGAGGGACGACGGCCUUCGGGUUGUAAACCUCUUUUAGCAGGGAAGAAGCGAAAGUGACGGUACCUGCAGAAAAAGCGCCGGCUAACUACGUGCCAGCAGCCGCGG
rnacentral:rRNA from 1 species